ensembl:lncRNA
UGUUUUUUGUGUGUGAAUUUCAGUCAUUUUAGUUCCUCUGUGUUGACAUCGUACGCGUCUCAUAACAAGCCAAACUGCACAUGAAUUUUGUGCUGUUUUUAUAGAAAUGUAUACAAAUUUCUGUUUUCUCUGUCAACUGCUGCCUCUGAUGUCUAAGCUCAAAUAACAGGAGAGCUGAAGGAAAUUAACUUUUUAAAUGUGAGGAUUUUCUGCUUUGGAAAUCUCUUUGGGUUUUAGAGGGAAGAGUUUUCAAUAGCUUUUUCGUACCUUUAUGCUAAUAUUUUAUGAUAUGCCCUCAAAUGGUUGAUCAGAAAUUCAAUCAGAAGCUCUCCAUUUUGUGCUUAAAGGCCAGAUUACCCUCUUAAUGGUGCAAAUUCUCCAAUAUAUGAGUAUAAUAAUGAAAUGCUUGUGAGCAAGUGGGUUUGGGGACCCUUGGGCCAGUGGCCCAUUCGGCCUAAUUUUGGUAAUCCAGCACUGCUGUCUGCACAAGAUAACAAUAAAUAUCAUCUUUUUCAAGUUUUAGGGCUCCACAGACUCGAUGCCAAAACAUUUAUAUUUUCAAAUGUAAAUGACAACAUGAUUUGAGCUGUUAGAGCAGCAGGGCCCUGGGCUGUCACCCAACUGAUCCUAAACUGGUUCUGGCACCAGAUUUAAACCAAAAUUAACCCUUAAUCAAGCAACAUAUCAGCUGCAUGCCUCAUCUGAUGCCUUAACCCGGGCAGCCUUUCAUUCAAUCAACAAAAACAGUGCUGACAUUCAAAAGAGUAUAUUAGUUGAAAGGUAAAUAAGAAUAAAACUCAGUUUGAUUCAGUGUUAGUUAUAUAGUACCAAAUCACAACAACAGUGGAAAGGAAAAACUGGCAAACGUGGGAAGGAAAAACUCCUUUUUAACAGGAAGAAACUUACAGGGAGAAGAGGCUUAGGGAGGGGCGGCUAUAUGCUGCAACUGGUUAGUUGUGAAUCUUAAACUCAUAAGAUUCAGAAUCUUUUUCACAAGAGUGUCCUAGGCCAGCUUUGACCUCGCAUGUUAGCUUACUGAGGUCGAACUCCUUUAACAGCUGCUGUGUUCUGCUAUCAUUAAUGCAAUUAUCGGUGCACAUAGCCUCCAUACCAUUGCAAACUCUGUGGCCAGAUCAGUUUCACCAUUUAUUAUUAACUGACUGUUUGGGGGAUAUAAAGAGCUGCACUGAAGUGCGAUUCAUAAAGUGCCAAAGCCAAACCAACAACAGCGAGAGCAGUCACGUAAUCGUCUGUGGCUUUAUAUGCAGUACAGAUUUAAAGCAGUUUAGAGUCUUCACUGUAUCUCAAAGUUAUCCCCUUCCCGCGGCCUCUCUCCAUGUGUUCUCACCACUCACAUACAUCACAGAGCAGCAACUGGUCCUCCAUGGCACUGGUUAGCAUAGAAAUGGCUGGUUCCCCUUGAUGACGCCUGCGUGAUACUCAAGUCAAAGUGUUGCACCGUGUUCACAGACGUAGGAUAUCUGCAGCUCAAACUGUCUCUUCAGCGUGCACUUGUACAUCACAGCCUCAUUUCUGAAUGUAAAUAAAGCAUGAGAUAUUACGGCCUGCUUUCAUUUAUAUUAUGGUUAGAGUAUUAAAUGAAGGGUUAAUAUAUAAGGUAGGUCAGCAUUUUUUCCUGUCCUUGAGCUCAUGGUCAUUUCUCUCUUUUUGUUUUUAAUCAAUGUGAAUGAAGGGAAUGGCUAUAUUUAAUGCUGUUGUAUGCUGUCGUGUUUUAGAGACUUGAGCCAGCUCAUACGAAUCUUUUUACAUGUAGAGGUCUGAUCUGAUCCGUCUCAGUGUUUUUUAGACUGGUGCAGAUAAGGCGAUGUUCAUUUUAUGCUAUACAUACAGUGAGCUACAUGUGUCACUGCCUUGUUAUAACUCACCAAGGAAAUGUUGUUUGUGAGCUUCUCACUUUGAGAAGCAUAGGAGAUAAAAAUAAAAGUGUUUUGAAAGGUUUA